rnacentral:rRNA from 1 species
UCUUAGUGGCGGACGGGUGAGUAACGCGUGGGUAACCUGCCUUAUACAGGGGGAUAACACUUAGAAAUAGGUGCUAAUACCGCAUAAGCGCACGGGGCUGCAUGGCCCAGUGUGAAAAACUCCGGUGGUAUAAGAUGGACCCGCGUCUGAUUAGCUUGUUGGCGGGGUAACGGCCCACCAAGGCGACGAUCAGUAGCCGGCCUGAGAGGGUGGACGGCCACAUUGGGACUGAGGCACGGCCCAAACUCCUACGGAAGGCAGCAG